rnacentral:rRNA from 1 species
AAUCUUGCGCAAUGGGCGAAAGCCUGACGCAGCCAUGCCGCGUGAAUGAUGAAGGUCUUAGGAUUGUAAAAUUCUUUCACCGGGGACGAUAAUGACGGUACCCGGAGAAGAAGCCCCGGCUAACUUCGUGCCAGCAGCCGCGGUAAUACGAAGGGGGCUAGCGUUGCUCGGAAUUACUGGGCGUAAAGGGCGCGUAAGCGGAUCGUUAAGUCAGAGGUGAAAUCCCAGGGCUCCACCCUAGAACUGCCUUUGAUAAUGGCGAUCUUGAGUAUGGGGGAGGUAAGGGGAACUCCGAGUGUAGAGGUGAAAUUCGUAGAUAUUCGGAAGAACACCAGUGGCGAAGGCGACAUACUGGCUCAUUACUGACGCUGAGGCGCGAAAGCGUGGGGAGCAAACA